AAGAGAGGGGAGGGGAGGGGAAGUGAAGGAGGGGGGAGGGGGAGGAGCAGUGGGGCUAGAGGGGGGUGAGGGGGGCGAGGGGGAGAGGGAGAGGGAGAGGGAGGGGGGGAGUAAGUGGGGGUGGGUGGCUGGGGGGGAGGAGAGAGGGUGGAAGGAAAAAUUGGAGGUAGGGUGAGGGAAGGGGGAGGGUUGAAGGGAAAAUAAUGAAACAGAGGAAAAAAGAGAAUAACAAGUAAAAAGCAAUGCAUGUAAAUACAGAGCAAGCAAGUAGGAAAGCUAGGCAUAGCACAGCAAAAGAGAGCAAAGCAAAAGAAGGCAAAGAAUGACAAAAAGCAACCUUGCAGGAAUGGAGGAAUCUGUCCAGAGCUGUGCCCCUGCUUGCCACAGGAGCUGCGCGGGAGGAGAAGAACGUGGGCCAAAAGGAAUGGAGGAAUCUGUCCAGAGCUGUGCCCCUGCUUGCCACAGGAGCUGCGCGGGAGGAGAAGAACGUGGGCCAAAAGGUAAGAGGAGCUCCUUUGGGUUCUGGGCUUGAAGCAAAGCUGAGAAGCCAUGCCCGGGAGGAGGUGUGGGUAGCUACAGGCCACCUUGCUAUCUCCCCAAGAGAUGAGGUGUGUGGGCUAGGCACCGGGCAGGAGUGCUGGCCAGAAGCAAGCAUCUCUGUGGAGGAAGGCAAAGGGCGGAGGAGGUUCAAGGGUAGCUACCGGGCAUGGCCUUGCUCAGCAAGGGGAGGAAAAGCCUGAAGGGCACGAGAAGGGGAUAGAGAAGGGCAGGCAGUAGGCGUGAAGCUGCGAGCAGAGUAGAGAGCAACUUGGCAGAGCAGCAAGCAGAGUAGGCAAGUGUUGAGGUUUGGCGUGAGUAGCAGCAAAAGCCCAUAGCAUCAAGAAGCAGGAAGUGAGGAGAAGGUAAGUGAAGGGCAGGCAAGGUAAUGGGAGGCAAAGGCAAGGGGAAAGGGGGGUAAGGGAGAAAGAGGGAUGGGGAGGGGAGGGGAUGGGUGAAGAGCAGAGCGGAGGGAAGGGCUGAGGGGAGGGCUGAAGGCAAACCUAUGAUGAAAAAAGAAAAGAAAAGAAAAAAUAAGAACAAAAAAUAUGAAAAAAGAGAAAAAAAAAAGAAAAAUAAGAAAAAGAAAAAAUGAAAAGAAAAAAGAAAAAAUGAAUGAAAAAGAGAAAAAGAAAAAGAAAAAAGAAAUGAACAAAAAAAAAAGAAGAAAAGAAAAAAAAAUGAAAAAAAAAGAAAAAAAGAGAAGAUAAAAAGAGAAAAGAAAAGAGAAAAUAGAAAUAAAAAAGAGGAAUGAAAAAAAGAAAAAAGAAAAAAGAAAAGAAAAAAACUAAUAGAUGAAAAAGAAAAAACAAAAAAAAACGAAUAAUGACAAGAGAAGAAAGGUAAAGAGAAAAGAAGAAAAAAGCCAAGUCAAAAAGUAAAGAAUAACUCGAAGGAAGGAGUGGAUGGCAAGAAAUACAGAGAAAGCAGUGCAUAGCACAG
rnacentral:lncRNA from 7 species